rnacentral:lncRNA from 1 species
AAAGUUAUGCAUGGUCAUAGUAAAAACAAACAAAUAAAACAGGCAGAGGAGUACAGCAUGAAAAGUAAAAGUCCCUUUUCUAGUAGAGAAUUGGGUGAGGGAUAAGGAGAGGGGAAAUAUUCCUUUGUUCUAUAUAAAGGUUGAUCAUAAAUGUCCCAAAACACUAUGAAAGAAAAUGACAAUGUCUAACUUCCUGUUUUUCAGUACUUGUGGAAUAAAGCAUAAGUAGUCAAUUCAGAAAUG